ACGGCAGACGCUGUCUGCAGACGCCGAGUUCCUGUACUUGAACUUGUUUUAGUUUUCACCAACAGUGAUUAUUAUAAGAGUGAUCAAACUUUGUCUAGAAAGCAGCCUCGUUCCUGGAUGUCGUCAUUCUGCUACCACUAUCACGAAUUCAAGAGCCCAUGUUCACCUGUAAUUCUGAAGACCCGAUCUAUCCCGAUGGAUUCCUUCUCUAAGGUGGGGUGAAAACUGGAGCAAGGAACUAUUAAUGAGGAUAAACAAACAGCUGGGAAUAAACCAGACGAACGGAUGAAGAGUAAAGGACAGAAAGUACUCCCGCUGCGAUUAAAGAGACUCAGCCAAAAACCUUCAGUAUCGUCCGCUGGUACCUCUUCGAGGAAAGCCUCGAGGAGCCUGAGGUAUUAAUGAUGGUCUGGUUCCGACGUCGACUUCAGUGGGUUCUUUAAUGAGUAAUCGUGUGGUCACCCAGCCGUAGCUACUGUGUAGUACAAAGAGAAAAUUAUAUCGUCAUAACAUGGACAUGAUUGGUACGUCAGUUAGUUACGAGAACUUACGUUCACGUCAUUGAUACGCUGGAACUAAUAAUUCUGAAAUAAAAAGGAUCAUUCUCAUUACCAGUCGGAUGAGUUCUCUCUCUCUCUCUCUCUCUCUCUCUCUCUCUCAACUCAAUAUCCAACGUUGUCAGGUCUCUUGGUCCUGCAUGCCAGGGCUGUCUGUGGUCUGAAUUUAGAAAGGCUCCGAGAAAAACGUUUAGCACCCCGGUUCGCAGGAAGAAAAGCAAGCAUUCAAAUUUAUUUUUAAAUAUUUCAGAAGUAAUAGGAAGGAGAUUAUUACAGCUCAGAUGAUCGGUUAGCUAUUAAGUCGAUUAAUGAGAAACUAAGGGAUCUGCGCACAGCCUUUGAAAAAUAAAGACAUGAGACAUUGUUUAACAUUUUCAGAAAUGUACCGAAAAAUUAAAACAAUAUUAUGUAAAUUUCGGGAUCAAGCAAUAUUAUCAGUUAAGUAAACAUCUGUGGAGGUGUUUCCUUACUUAGAUUUCUUAUGAACCCUCAGUUACUCUAGUGAAGAGAAUGACCAUUGAGUGCAAAAGAAUAAACUACAAGAGACCGCCCAAUUACGAUCUUUCCAUGUAAAAAAAUAAUAGACUUCACAUCAUUUGAAUCAUAAUCUUCUGCUCAGUAAGCCGAAAAAAGGCACCAUUUGCAAUUCGGUAAAAGCAACCAUUCUUUACCAGACAAAGGAACAAACGCAACAACUACCCAGUUCCUAGCAAUGCCCCUCCAGCUCAAUGCCCCAUACCCAAGGCAACAUCAGGUCUUCGAGUAUCUCCACCAUAAGAAAGGAGGAAAAUGAUAUGGGACUUAGUUUAUAAACUUCAUGCCAUGUUUCGAAAAACAUACAUUACUUUGCAUACAUGAUUGCUGUACAGAUCUAGACUUGUCGAGUCAUUCCCCGAAGAUUAGUAUUGGCAGAGCAAAAAACAUACAAAUGCUUCCUCUCGCCAUAUUCAUGUCGUAAUCUAUUUACAUGAUAAAAAUUCACUUUGUAUGUGCUCCACGGUAAUCAUCGUCCAUAAAAGGACACAAAAACUAAUAUCUACAUAAAAAUUAGGGCUGCGCAAUCGGUUAUUUUCCAUACUUAGUGAAAAUUGGGGACUCUUGAUUUAAGCUGAUGACAUGGGUGAGCUGAGAAGGCAGGCAGAACCCAGUGACCUUCGGGCGGGCAUAAUCAUCUGCUUUCUUAGACCGGAAAUGUAAAUCUUUCUCCAUAGAAGACGAAUUCUAAGAAUCUGCAAGGGAAAAGUACAGAGAAAUAAGUCGACGAACAAACAUAUAAAAGACAUGACAGCUGAAGGAAAGCGUCCCAACGAUAUGUAUUUGAAGGCGCAGAGUCGGCAAGAAUCUAAUACUGUUUAAGCGCCAAAAUCCGGUGUUAUGAAAGACCGCCAAAAUUCGUUAUUUGGUUGUUUCUUUUACCGGACGAUCUCCCACUUCUGGAGUUAAGCACCAGCCUCCAAAGGUUGUUUUUCAGUGAGUGAACGAAAUGCAGCCCCUAACCGUAAUGGCAGCUGUGAUGAACGGAGGAUUAAGAAAGGAGAAAGCAAAUGCGAAGGAGCUAAGCCAGGGGAGGAAAAAAAGUCUUUGAAUAACUUGGGGAUGCAGAGAAUCUUGGGGCUUCGCAAAAAACCCUCCUCAUUGCUCGCUGACGGGACCCAGGAUUCUCAACAGCCUUUGGAAAUGACGGCCCAACGCGAGUCCAGGUAAGAAUUAUCGUGUUCCUCUGGUCAUUGCUGGAUAUCCAAGAUACCUGGUUGAUUAAGACAAGGGCCUCAGAGGUUAUGAAAGGUUAAUGCUUGCUUUUGUUAUGGAAAAACUCAGAUUACAGAGUUGCACUGACCGAUUUAAUUCGCAUGUGUGUGUGUGUGUGUGUGCUGGAUGCGAGUGCGAGAUUAAUCUAUGCUUUGCAUCGCUAAUCUCGGAAUUCAGUACAGAAAUUCUUAAUGUACUUUCUUCUCCUUCUUCUUCUUCUU